AAUUAGAUUCCGCGCUCAUCAGUACGUACUCACUGGCGACAUCGAGAAAAUGUAUCGGCAAUUCCUCGUACGACCAGAGGAUCGGAAAUAUCAAAGGAUAUUAUGGCGCAGCGCGAGUGGAGAAACAGAAACAUAUGAGCUUAACACCGUAAUACUCUUAUCAUAGAAAUAGAAGCAGUCCUCAAUUCCCGCCCUCUAACUUCUAUCUCCACCGAUCCAAAUGUUCUCCUAGCCCUCACUCCCGGACAUUUCCUCAUUGGCGAUUCAUUAAUGUGCUUACGUGAUCGAGAUUUCAGGGACAUUCCAUCGAACCGACUCUCCAAAUGGCAGCAUAUCCAACAGGUUAAACAACAUUUUUGGAACCGCUGGCAUAAGGAGUAUUUGAACGAGCUAACCAACCGCAAUAAAUGGAGCAAGGGUGGACACAGCAUCCAAAAGGGCACAAUCGUCAUCCUCAGAGAGGACAACGUUCCCUCCAUGCAUUGGCCUCUGGGCCGAGUUAUCAAGGUUCAUCCAGGCGCCGAUGGUGUCAUCCGGACAGCUACAGUUCAGACGGCAAAGAGCAUUUUGGAUCGGGGCGUCAAAAGGCUUGUCCCACUGCCAAUUCAACCCGAUCUCGAGAAACCCGAACAAAUAGCCACCGUGACGAAAUAAGAUGGGAACUUCAACCACACCUCGCUAGUUUGAUCGGUACCCUCUCAACGGGGGGAGAAUGUUACGCCGUGCGGCUUACCAUAGGUCAUAUUCUUAACUAUCGAUCGCGGCACUAUAAUGUCGCAGACGGAUCGUCGUGUCUGCCCGGCAAACAAACAUUGUAGUGGCAAGCGCAUGGUUCAUUAAGCAGGGCGACUUCCAGAAACGUCGACUCGUGGCCCGUAUUUUACCUCGCGUAAAAGAAUGUGGCGUGAUCCGAACGUAGUGGGGGUCGCCUUCCAGAAAAAACGAAAAAAAUCGAAAGGCGUUCAGAACUUUUCGAGAUGUCGAACCGUCAACACAUGUGGUAUGUCGCGCAUUACUUAUCAACCAAAACGCAGUUACAUUUUUUUUGUUCCAUUUAUAUCUUUCUAGUUAAUAAGUUGUUGAAAUAAACAUUAAUUUAUUUGUGUUAAUUCUGUGGAAUUUCAUUGAACUACCCUUAUUAUCAUAAUCGAAAUAAGGGGAUCGAUCAGUUCGUGGCGUCGAUUAUUUAAUCGUAACGGGAACUUACAACUCUCGUUGACGUGCUAUCUCGCGAUCGCGUCUCUCCGCGAACGGUCGAAACAAAAUGAUUCACUAAAAACUGUCCUGAAUUCCUAAGAAUUUAUUUACCGCAAAACUGACAAAGUGUUUAUUUAAAAAAUGAGGUUGAAGGGCAAUCCGGUGGACUUGAUCGGCUUUUUACUUCGAAAGUUGAGUAAUCGGUGUCGCUUUCUUACGCAUCUUUGAACUGUAUAAAUGUUUUAAAAUUGUUUGAUCCAGAAUGUACCACACCGGACAAUCAAGAAGGCAGGUGCCUUGACUACAGAAAAUGUAAACCUCUGCAAGAAAUAUGGCAGAUACAGUACCGUACAGCCACCGAUUUUUAUAGACGAUCAGUGUGCAGAUACCAGGGCAAUGUUACGAUCGUUUGCUGUCCGAACGAUCCAAACAAAGAGAAGAGAGAAAUUUUAAUCAAAACUGUGUAUAAGUAUAAGGCUUUGCGACCACCAUACUGUGGUUUUAGCAACGUCUCUCAUACCAGGGUGGUGGUCGAUGGUAAACCAGCUGAACUUGGUACGUUUUAUGUCUUUCUUUCCGAUUAAUAAUAAGCCAUUUACUGCAAAGAAUGAACUUUAAAGGCAUUAAACAGCACAUCAAUGAAGAGUAUCUUUUUGCUUGAAAUAAAAAAUUGAUAUAGGAGUAAUAAUAUGGAUAGAGAUCAAAAACUGUUAGGGCAGAAAUUACACGUUUGAACUUUAUAGUUCAGUAUAGUUCAAAUAGAAAUUAUAUAGAAUUAUUUAAUAAUUUGUAUUCCACUGGAAUAAAAAUUUAAUUUCUGUCUUUAUCAAAUCUCUAUUUCAGAGUAUUUGUACGUAUGUACUUAUCGUCUGCUGUAUGAUCGAAUAUCGAAUAGGU